GAUGUACUCCCUUCGUCUGAAAAUACUUGUCAUCAAAAUGAAUAAAAGGGGAUGUAUCUAGAUGUAUUUUAGUUCUAGAUACAUUCCUUUUUGUCCAUUUUGAUGGCAAGUUUUUUUGAACAGACGGAGUAAUUU
rfam:Triticum aestivum genome assembly, contig: Triticum_aestivum_CS42_TGACv1_scaffold_129438_2BL